AAAAAAAGAGAAAGUCAUACUAUAUGCCAUACCAAUUAUACAUUAAUAGCCAUGAGAACACCAUAAGUUUCUGGGUAUUCCUUAUUCCUUUCUACAUAAAGUUGAUAACUCAUGAAACCUUUUGACAUUGUUCGUAUUUUCAUGUGAUGAAAUCCUCUGUACGAUCAUCAGAUGUUUGCCCCUUUUGUGUUAUUAAUUUUUUCAUGAAUUAAAGUAUUAGAAAUGAUACGUGAUAUCUAUUCAACUGUUUAUCUAAACUGUGUGAGUUUGGUGAUAGCAUGGGUUACCAACUUAUCAUGGUAACUAUAAUUUUGAACUUAUUCUCCUAUUUAACCAGGUCACGCCUCGGCUAAAGGAGCUUAUGAUGUCAUCCUGCAGGUUGGGGACUGAAACUUGUCACAAUCAAGUAUCAAUUGCUUUGGUGGAUACUAUCAGCCUCAAGUGUUCACUGGUUUGGAACCAAGUGUAUAUAGUAUGUAGGUGUAGCUGCAAUUGGAUGGUGAAUACAUUGCAUGAUAUGAUCCUGUGUGAUCUUUUCAAAAAAAUGAUUUCCUGUGUGAUGAGAUUAA